AAGGGCGUCCUGAAACAAAUUAAUAAAUGGAGAAUAUCAAAAUACUGAACAAAUGUGUAAUUUCAAAUUCAUAAUACAUAAUUCAGCUUGUCUGUACAAGUACUAAGAGAUUGGUCCUAAAUGAGAAAGAAAAUGUUUAGUCCACAAUGUGGUUAUCAGACAGGUAUCACCAGCAAAACCAUCUUCUGGUAAAUUCUGUAAAUAUUACAGCCUCGUUCGGAUGUUUUUCCGUAAUCUCUUUGCGACAUGGUUUAUGAAAAAAGCAUAUGAACAGACAGGAAAUUUAGGCUUGUUUUUUCGAACCAUGCUGAAAAUGCUUUUAAUCGCCGUGCUGACUAAGAGGUAACUGGAGUCUCCACUUUGUUUCCCACUGCUGUGUGUGCGAGGGAAUAAUCGCCGUGUUGACGAAGAGGGUGCUGUGGAAAGCACUACCAGGACCGGCGACCAUGGAACCAUCCCAACCAAGCCUCUGAGGGUGUGGAGCAAUUUGGGCUCCACCCUCGUUCCUUUCUGCAAAGACAACUCCGAUUACGGGGGAGGGCCGUCGCUGUCCGUGCCGUCCGUGGAGUGUAGAAGUUACCGCCGUAUGUUAUGCUGAUGUCGUUUUAUCAAAGUAAGACUUUUCCUUUUUCUAUUAGUGUUACACAAGUAGAGAGGAUCAGGGCGUAGGUGUCGUACCCCGCUCCCGCGGUUACUCUCCAUCUUCUGUUGGUAGAGAGCGUAAGACAGUUGAGUUGAGCUGCCCAGUGACGCAACGGUUAGCGCCUGUCACCAAUACAGUGAAGGUUGGCUGCUCAGAGUUCAUUUCUCGUCUCGGGUACGCUGUUCUUUCUCUGCACGUGGCAUCUGUUUACAGGGCUGGCUGCUUGCCGUAAUAUAGCCUCAGUUGCUGGCACGGCGUAAAAAACCAACCCACCCCCCACAGUUGAGUUGAACUUUUAAGGCGUGUAUGCAGCAUUGCUAAAAGUUGAAAAGCACGUGGACUUUUUGUGUAGCAAGAAACAGUGCUCUUGAGAACUUUGUCUUUUUGAAUGUAUAUUUAUUAACGUGCUUAGAAAGCUGUAGUGGAUUAAGUUAGCAGUUUAGGAAACUGCAGAAGACCAGCCUGCGUGCGGUCUUAGGAUUUGCAUUUAAUUUCAUUAAGUGUGCUGUGUUAAUUUGGAUAUUGUUAUUGUAUACGAGUGCAAGAGUAGAGUGUAAGCUGUUCAUUCUGGAAGUUUCGUGUGUAAUAUUAUUUGGACUUCCUAAACCGAAGUGAUCUCGUGUUUCGUUAUUUGAAAGAAUGCGCAAUGUCCGAGUGCUUCUAUUCUCACCCUGAAAAAGAAACAAAUAUAUUACAACUAUGUUAAACUAUAUUAAGUGUCCAAAACUGACUGGUCUGCAGAAUCACACAUUUUUAAAUCACAAGUUGACCUUCAAAUAAAAAAGCUAAAAGUAAGACGAAUCUGGAUAGUGAUUAAGUUAAGUUAAAAAAAAUUACUGUUAACAUUAAUCAUAUAUAAAUCUGUAGACUCCUACACAUCUCUCUCACAUUUUUGUUUCCAGGUUGAACACACAAUAUGCUCUCCUUUGUGAAAAGAAAAAAAAAAUUAAAAUGGAACAUUUACUUUUUUAAAAUUUCACUUCCAGAAUACCACUACUAUUUGAGGAAAAUGUUACACAUCUGUAUCAAAAUGAUUUUCAUCUCACCCUUGUUUUAUUAAAAUUUGUUUAUAAAAUUAUGAAUGAUUGCUCCAAAAUUCAAUGUGCUGAUAAUGCUUAACAUUACCAUGGAUUAUACACAGCCACAGAAAUUUUACUACAGGAAAACAAAACAACUUAGACAAAUAGCUUAAGUUUAUACUUUCAAUUGUUUUUAUGACAUGGCUACCGCAGCUAAAAUGUGUAACGAUGUGUAGUACUGUUACAGAAAUGAACAUCUGUAAUGCUACACUGCUAGGCCUAAGCUCUGCCGAUGCCAUCUGCUCUUGUGAACUCUUUGUUACACAAAGAUAAAAACAAAAGCAAAACCAAAAAAAAAA
rnacentral:lncRNA from 1 species